GCUAGCGGCAGGCUUACACAUGCAAGUCGAGGGGUAUAGUUCUUCGGAGCUAGAGACCGGCGCACGGGUGCGUAACGCGUAUGCAAUCUACCUUUUACAAAGGAAUAGCCCAGAGAAAUUUGGAUUAAUGCCUUAUAGUAUUAUGACUUGGCAUCAAGAUGUAAUUAAAGAUUUAUCGGUAAAAGAUGAGCAUGCGUCCCAUUAGCUAGUUGGUAUGGUAACGGCAUACCAAGGCUACGAUGGGUAGGGGUCCUGAGAGGGAGAUCCCCCACACUGGUACUGAGACACGGACCAGACUCCUACGGGAGGCAGCAGUGAGGAAUAUUGGACAAUGGGCGCAAGCCUGAUCCAGCCAUGCCGCGUGCAGGAUGACGGUCCUAUGGAUUGUAAACUGCUUUUAUACGAGAAGAAACACUACUUCGUGAAGUAGCUUGACGGUAUCGUAAGAAUAAGGAUCGGCUAACUCCGUGCCAGCAGCCGCGGUAAUACGGAGGAUCCAAGCGUUAUCCGGAAUCAUUGGGUUUAAAGGGUCCGUAGGCGGUUUAGUAAGUCAGUGGUGAAAGCCCAUCGCUCAACGGUGGAACGGCCAUUGAUACUGCUAGACUUGAAUUAUUAGGAAGUAACUAGAAUAUGUA
rnacentral:rRNA from 1 species